rnacentral:snRNA from 1 species
AUACUUACCUGUGCCGGGGACUCGUUGAUCACCGAAAACGAGCCUCCACGGCGAGGCAUGGGCAUUGUACCGCACUCGCGUUGCCCCUGCCACUACCCCAAACUGGGGAAGAUGGGGCAUGCAAAUUCC